CUGAAGCUGUAAAGACCAGCAUCAGCUGGUUCUCAUUGUGAAGUGGCUCCCCCAGUCAGUUUCACUUCAUGGACACCAGCACAAAGUCAUUAAAGGCAGUGGUAAGUGAUAGAAGAGCGAGACCCUCCUCCACAGGACAAUGUCCUCCUGAAGUCACUGACCUUCUGCCUCAGCAGAGCCACAAACCAAUCCGCCAGGAGAACCGAGGGGCCCGUGCACUGCAGGAGGGAAGAUGAAACAAGCAGUGGGGAAAGGCUGGAAAGGGAAUACCAGAAGCCAGAAGUGGUGCUGAAGACUUAAUCUCGUGAAACCACAGCCUCACUCUUCCAGCCAGGAAAAAGUCAGCAGCUGCUGACCAGCACUGUUUUUUCUAACACUUCAGAGCCCCCUUUGAACUCUUUCACAGUCCUUGGGGGAUUGCAGCCCACAGUUAGGGAAACUCUGCCCUGGGCUGGCCAUUCAGUUGUAAUACACUGGGACCAAUUUUCCAAGGAACAGAAAUUUCCCUGGCUGUUGGCACACGAAAGCUAUCUGCUGGGGAACAUGCCUUUUUCCACCCAGCGUGGUGAGAAAUCCCGAGGAUUCUGAUGGGGAAAAAUGCAACUGGUCAAAUAUAGCUCUGGUUAGAAAGUCGUCUUCACCCACAACGUGUGUUGACAAUGACAAACAAAAAAUAUUUUCUUUAAAAGGUUUAUG